UAACCUGCCCAAUAGAUCGGGAUAACACCUGGAAACAGAUGCUAAUACCGGAUAACAACANAUGAUGCCUAUCAACUGUUUAAAAGAUGGUUCUGCUAUCACUCUUGGAUGGACCUGCGGUGCAUUAGCUAGUUGGUAGGGUAACGGCCUACCAAGGCGAUGAUGCAUAGCCGAGUUGAGAGACUGAUCGGCCACAUUGGGACUGAGACACGGCCCAAACUCCUACGGGAGGCAGCAGCU
rnacentral:rRNA from 1 species